GAUGAACGCUGGCGGCGUGUUUAACACAUGCAAGUCGAGCGAUGAAGUUUCCUUCGGGAAACGGAUUAGCGGCGGACGGGUGAGUAACACGUGGGUAACCUGCCUCAUAGAGUGGAAUAGCCUUCCGAAAGGAAGAUUAAUACCGCAUAACGUUGAAAGAUGGCAUCAUCAUUUAACCAAAGGAGCAAUCCGCUAUGAGAUGGACCCGCGGCGCAUUAGCUAGUUGGUGGGGUAACGGCCUACCAAGGCGACGAUGCGUAGCCGACCUGAGAGGGUGAUCGGCCACAUUGGGACUGAGACACGGCCCAGACUCCUACGGGAGGCAGCAGUGGGGAAUAUUGCACAAUGGGGGAAACCCUGAUGCAGCAACGCCGCGUGAGUGAUGAAGGUUUUCGGAUCGUAAAGCUCUGUCUUUGGGGAAGAUAAUGACGGUACCCAAGGAGGAAGCCACGGCUAACUACGUGCCAGCAGCCGCGGUAAUACGUAGGUGGCGAGCGUUAUCCGGAUUUACUGGGCGUAAAGGGAGCGUAGGCGGAUGAUUAAGUGGGAUGUGAAAUACCCGGGCUCAACUUGGGUGCUGCAUUCCAAACUGGUUAUCUAGAGUGCAGGAGAGGAGAGUGGAAUUCCUAGUGUAGCGGUGAAAUGCGUAGAGAUUAGGAAGAACACCAGUGGCGAAGGCGACUCUCUGGACUGUAACUGACGCUGAGGCUCGAAAGCGUGAGGAGCAAACACG
rnacentral:rRNA from 1 species